rnacentral:rRNA from 1 species
GCAGGUCGAACGAAGUACCAAUACUUAGUGGCAGACGGGUGAGUAACAUGUGGGUAUCUACCCUUUGGCCUGGAAUAACACGAGGAAACUUGUGCUAAUACCGGAUAAGUCUUUACGGAGAAAGCUUUAUGCACCAUUGGAUGAGCCCGCACUUGAUUAGUUUGUUGGUAGGGUAAUGGCCUACCAAGACUAUGAUCAAUAGCUGAUUUGAGAGGAUGAUCAGCCACAUUGGGACUGAGACACGGCCCAAACUCCUACGGGAGGCAGCAGUGGGGAAUCUUGCACAAUGGAGGAAACUCUGAUGCAGCGAUGCCGCGUGAGUGAAGAAGGCCUUUGGGUUGUAAAGCUCUUUCGUCGGGGAAGAAAAUGACUGUACCCGAAUAAGAAGGUCCGGCUAACUUCGUGCCAGCAGCCGCGGUAAUACGAAGGGACCUAGCGUAGUUCGGAAUUACUGGGCUUAAAGAGUUCGUAGGUGGUUGAAAAAGUUGGUGGUGAAAUCCCAGAGCUUAACUCUGGAACUGCCAUCAAAACUUUUCAGCUAGAGUAUGAUAGAGGAAAGCAGAAUUUCUAGUGUAGAGGUGAAAUUCGUAGAUAUUAGAAAGAAUACCAAUUGCGAAGGCAGCUUUCUGGAUCAUUACUGACACUGAGGAACGAAAGCAUGGGU